GAUAAAAUGGCUGAAGAUAGGCGGUAAGCUGUAAACUUAUUCAUGAAUUAAAUUCUUUUAUC
rnacentral:tRNA from 1 species